GUGAAUCAUCGAAUUUUUGAACGCAAAUUGCACUCUCUUCGGAGAGUAUGCCUGUUUGAGGGUCAGUAUUAAUAAAAAUCGGAGUGUUGCUUCUUUGUGUCGCUCCGGAGCUUGGGUCAUCUUAAUAUCCUAUUGGCUUUAAGCGGCUUAAAAUUGACUUUUUUUGCGCAUUUUAGAUGUACGAAGAUUCUUUUU
rnacentral:misc_RNA from 1 species